rnacentral:lncRNA from 1 species
UUUUCUCUCAACAUAGUCUUUUUUUCAUUGAAUAUUUUUUAAUUUAAAUUCAAUUAGUUAACAUAUAAUGUACUAUUAGUUUCAGAGGUAGAGUUCAGUGAUUCAUCAGUCUUAUAUAAUACCCAGUGCUCAUUACAUCACAUACCCUUCUUAAUGUCCAUCACCUAGUUAGCCCAGUCCCCCACUCCCUUCCUCUCCAGCAACUCUCAGUUUGUUUCCUAUGAUUACAAGAGGGUAUUAUGCUAAGUGAAAUAAGUCAACCAGAGAAUGACAAUUCUCAUUCGAUCUCAUUCAUGUGUGUAUUUAAGAAACAAAACAGAGGAUCAAAGGGGAAGGGAGAGAAAAUAAAACAAGACAAAAUCAGAGAGGGAAAGAAACCAUAGAGACUCUUAAUCAAAUAAAUAAAAUCUUUAAAAAAAAAAAAAACUAAACGAUCACAAUGUAUGACCUUAUGUAGAUCCCCAUUCAAACAAAUAAACCUUAAAAAAUAUAUAAUUGAGGGCAGCCCCGGUGGUGCAGUGGUUUGGCACUGCCUGCAGCCCGGGGUGUGAUCCUGGAGACCCAGGAUCAAGUCCCACGUCAGGCUCCCUGCAUGGAGCCUACUUCUCCCUCUGCCUGUGUCUCUGCCUCUCUGUCUAUGAAUAAAUGAAUAAAAUCUUAAAAAUAUAUAUAUAUUUGAGAAAAUAUGAAUAUUGACUGGGCAUUCAGUCAUAUUAAGGAAUUUUUUUUAAGAUUUUAUUUAUUUAUUUGAGGGAGAGCAAUAGCGAGAGACCACAGAGGGAGAGGAAGAAGCAGACUCACUGCUGAGUGGAGAGCCUGACAUAGAGCUUGAUCCCAGGACCCUGAGACCAUGACCUGAGCCAAAGGCAGAUGCUUAACUGACUGAACCACCCAGGUGCCCCUUAAGGAAUUUUUCCUUAAGUGUAAUAAUCGUGACCAUGUUUUAUAAAGAAUCUUUAUCUUUAUGAGAUACAUAAUGAAAUACUUAUAUAUAAAUAUUUACAAAUACAAUAGAAUCUAAGUUUACUUCAAAAGUUUCUGAGGUAUGACAGGGGUGCUAGAGGAUGGACACAGAUGAGACAGUAAUGAUCAUGUGCUGAAGAUUAUGGAAAUCAGGAGAUGUAUAAAUCAGCUUAUUUUUUAUUUUUUCUUUUCUUGCGUAUGUUUUUAAAUGUCCAUAAUAAAGUUUUCAUAAAACAUAAUGAAUGGUAUAGUCAAAAUCAGAUGUGAUCCAAUAGACUAAAUAGGAGAUAGGGGAACACACAGUCAGGAUUAGAACCCGAAGUCUUAACUUCCACCCAAAUGUUCUUACCACUAAAUAAUACUGAAGCAGCCACUCAUGCCCACCUCCAAAACCACUGAUAAUGUAGUGGAACAGAAGCCUAUAUAAAUUUCAUUCUCUGAAACAAAAGAAAGCAAAGCAAAGCAAAAACCCCACUAUUUAUCUUUCACAAAAUAUCCAACAUGGCACUUAAAGAAAAAAAUUAUAUUCCCAAAAAGACUCUACUUGUUCAGAAGAAUCUAAACCAAAUCACCAAACAAAUCUUCGACUAUAAAUUGCAAGACUUAGAUUUUAAAAAAAAAAAAAAAAAAAAAAAAAAAAAAAACCAACAACAACAACAACAAAAAAAAACAGUGUGAGGCAACAUGAAGAAAAACUAACUCUGUUCUUAAACCUCACUGACAGAAUCUGGAUGAGGAUUUGACUGUAGCCAUAUAUUCAGAAACAUUAAAGAACUUUCCACCUCCACCAUACCAUGCUCCAAUAAACCAAAUGUAAAGCAAUAUCUUUCUUUAAUGUCAUUCUUUAAUGAUAGAAAUAAAUCCAAUUACUGAAGACAAUGCUUGGAUAUAUAAAAAUAUGCUAUCAGAAAAAAAAAAAGAGCUCUCUAAACUCACAGGGUGACACUGCAGAGGCAGCAUUUGGUGGGUUAGAACUGCAGACACAGAAGAUCCCUGGGUGGCUCAGCAGUUUAGUGCCUCCCUUCCGCUCGGGGUGUGAUCCUGGAGUCUUGGGAUCGAGUCCCACAUCAGGCUCCCUGCAUGGAGCCUACUUCUCCCUCUGCCUGUGUCUCUACCUCUCUCUCUGUGUCUCUCAUGAAUAAAUAAAUAAAUAAAUAAAUAAAUAAAUAAAUAAAUAAAAUCUUAAAAAAUAAAAUAAAAAUAAAUUUAAAAAAAUAGAAGGGCAGCCUGGGUGGCUCAGCAGUUUAGCGCAGCCUUCAGCCCAGGGCCUGAUCCUGGAGACCCAGGAUAGCGUCCCACAUCAGGCUCCCUGCAUGGAGCCUGCUUCUCUCUCUGCCCCCCCCCCCUCUGUGUGUGUGUGUCUCUCAUGAAUAAAUAAAUAAGAUCUUUAAAAAAAAAAAAAAAAAAAAA